UUACAGUCCGCGUUCAUUUCCCCAACUGCUGCAAAGGUAAAGAGGGAAAAAGAAAAUCCACAAAACCCUAUAAGCACUGCACCAAACUGAGACUUCAACGAUGUCCAAUCUCCCGUUAGAAAUGAUCGCGGAAAUACUAUGCCGUCUAACGGCCAAGAAACUUCUCUGCUGCAGGUGCGUGUCAAAACGAUGGCGCACUUUAAUAGACAGUCCAACUUUCAUUUACUUACAUCUUAACCACUCUAUAGAAAGCCCUUGUAAUUUAAGCAUAAUACUUAAGAGUUCAGAGCUUUACUCUUUAUCUUUUGAUUUACUCGAUAACAUCCAACCACUUGACCAUCCUUUGAUGUGUUACAAUCAUGGUGUCAAAAUCUUGGGUUCUUGUAAUGGAUUGCUUUGUAUUUGUAAUAUUGUUGAUGACAUUGCUUUGUGGAAUCCAUCUAUUAGAGCCCACCGUGUUGUACCCUAUUUGCCUGUUGAGCUUAAACGCUAUUUCGGGAUGUGUUCUUGCCGGGUUAGUGUUUUUGGAUUUGGGUAUGAUCUUAGUAAUGAUGAUUAUAAGCUUGUUAGAAUUGCUCAGUUUGGGGGUGUGGAUAGAAAGAGUUUUGAGUCUGAAGUUAAGGUUUUUAGUUUGAGAAAGAAUUCUUGGCGAAGGAUUGCUGAUAUGCCUUACUGUGUUUUGUAUCCUGGGGAAAAUGGGAUUUAUGCUAAUGGUGCUUUACAUUGGUUAGUGAGCCAAGAUCCUGACUCCACUGUGGCCGAUACAAUUGUUGCUUUGGAUUUAGGAGUUGAGGAUUAUCAUGUUGUGCCCAAGCCUGAAUUUGUGGAUAUGAAUUGUAACAUGGGUAUUGGGGUUCUCCAAGGAUGCCUUAGUCUGCUUGCAUAUGCUCGCAGUGAGCGUGUUGAUGUUUGGGUAAUGGAGGAGUAUAUGGUCAAGGAGUCUUGGAGUAAAUUAUUUUCUGUUGCGCGGCUAGAAGUUAUUGGGAUUCUUAGAUCUCUUAAACCUCUGGCUUAUUCAAAAAGUGGUAAUGAAGUUCUCAUAGAGCACGACAAUGUAAACCUUUUCUGGUAUGACCUUAAGAGAAAAGAAGUCGUGAAUGUUUGGAUUCAAGGUGUGCCAAUUACAUUUGAAGCUGAAAUUUGUGUUGGAAGCCUUGUUCCACUCAAUGCAAAUAGGCUGCGUAGGAGACCAAAACAUGAACAUAAGGAGACAAAAAAUAGGAAGAAGAGGGAUGAUUUCUUGUCUGAAGGCUUCAAAUUGGUCUUGUAAGCUAGUAUCAGAAGAGUAUUAGAAAGACUAGAAAAGAGGAUGAGUUUCUAUCUUUGGUAUCUUUGUUCCUCUCAGGGAUGAAACUUGUGGACAAGGAUAAGGUAGUUGAAUUUAUGAGAAAUUCAAAGAUAGAAGUAAGAAGGUUAAAGAUCUGUGCACAUAAGAUGUCUUUUCACAUUUUAAUAAAAGCUGCCUGGUCAGGUUUGUCUUAUCAAGGCCAUAUUCUGUCCAUACAUUUUUUCAGUAACUGGCAUAGAAUGGAGACAUUUACCUUUAUAGGAUUUUCUGGAAAUAAUAGUGCAUUUGCUCUUUAGAGGCUUAAGAUGGAGGCAUCCUAUAAUAGUGCAUAUAGGAUGUUUAUCGUCUUGAAUAUGAUACAUACUUAAUUCUCUUUAGCUCUAAAGGAACUUCUUUCCUCGAUUGUUUGUCAAUAGUAAUUUUAGAUCCUUAGAUAGUGUCAUAUAGCGCGAUCAUAAGGAAAUAAAUCUGUAAUCAUGAAACUGAAAAUGAUGUUCUCUUUUCUAGUGAAGAAGCCUUGGUGACCACUACCAAAUUCUAAUACUUCUUUUUAUUUAUUCUAGUACAGCUUUGGUUCAACAAAUUUUUCUUGUGAUGUUUGGAAGUUCUCUAGCAGCGAUUUGAUAAAAGGAAGAUUUUGGGUGACUUGGUCUUUAACCAAAAGAAUAGAAGCUUCAUUUGCCCUGUUACUGCCCUUGGUGGUUAGGUAGCAUAUAUAUGCUAUCUAACAUGGGGUUCAGGGUUUAGUAUGAAAGAAGAGAAAGCAAGAGGGCUAGAGGAGUAAAAAGCUUAGGUUCUGGUUUAAAGACAUGUGUAGAGUUAUCAAUAAGGUGAAGUAUUGAGUUGAUGUUUGCUUUCCUUUAUCACCCUGUUGGAUGUUAAUGAGCAGAAAUCAUGCUGAAGAUAGAGCAGAGGAUGGUGUUUGGCAUGCAACAUCAGAUAAUAUCAUAAUUGAUUCUGAUUUCCUUGUAUAGUACAUAUAUAUGAUUCAUGAAUUAAUUCUUUUAAUUGCA